CCCAUGAACAGUGAGAUCAUGACCGAGCAGAAGUUUGUCACCCAACCGACUCAGCCACCCAGGCACCCCGAGGAAAAUAUUUUGGUCACGUGGUUUUCUUCCUACCCACUACUGUCUUUAAAAUGCAAUUUUUCGCUGUUUUAUAAUCAUAAACCUGUGGCUCUCAGGGUUUUAGAGGGUAGAAUACGGUUUGUUCUGUAGUUCAUGUUAGAGAGGAAACUGAAGUAACAUGAUUGUCUUUGAAGACAAAGAGUAUGUUUAGAUAGUUCCUACCCUUCCACUCUUCUCCAGCUGCCAUCUUGCGUGUGGCAUUGGUUGGCUUCCUUGGCCUGAUAGAGCAGGGCCAUCAAGUUUUUCAACACAUCUCCAAACCAAGGGUUGAUGCCACGAGUGAGGGGGUAGCAGCAGCUAUCUGCUUUCUCCUCUUUAGUUUUAAACCUGAAACUUGAAAAACAAAAAUCAUUUUAAUUGAGUAAUUAGCUUCAAUAUGUCCACUUUUCAGAAUAAUACAUGUUCAAAACGACCUUGUGAUCUGAAAGCGAGGAAUGUUUAACAUACAAAUAAAUAUUAGAUGUGGACUCGUCCUUCGCGGUUAACACUUUUUGCAAACCUUCCUUGGUUGCUGACGGUCAGAAUCUUUGGAUUCUUGUUGCCUGCAGAACUUCAACCCAGAUGCUUCUAAAACCGGAGUCUUUAGCUUUCUUGUUUAGGGGUGAAAAUACCUAGAAAUAAAUGGGACACAUCUUGUGAAAAAGAUGUUUGGCCCCACAUAGAUGGCUGAUAUUUAAGUAAAUGGUAAUUAAUUCUUCAAGGGGUAAACAAGUGAUGUUAUUAUUACUGUAAGUCAGUUAAAAAUAUCAGGGCUUCAGGAUGGGAGCGUUUGAACUUGGUGUCACGGAUUUUGGGAAGUUCUGAAAGGAAUGAGAAGCGUUUAGAUUCCAGGAAUCUUUGAUUAAAAUAUAUUAAUGAAAGUGGGAGAGUUCUCAGCUGGCUGGUAUGGAAGAUAAAAUACCAUAAAUGUCAGCAUCAUGCCUGGGCAACUCUGUAAGUCAUUAUAAACAAUAAUGGGCGCUACAAAAGACAAGGUCAGAACAUUUCUCUUAACUCUUCCAUACACAUUCGUUUUAUUUCUGGUGCAUAUCUCAUUUCCUUUCAAGUAUCUUUAACUGUAAGGAGGGAGAUAACCUUUAUAACUCUCUCUCUUAUUGGUAAGGACACAGAAUGAAAGUCCCUCAGUUUAUACAUAGUUGAUGUAAUCUAUGAACAGCAUAUUUUUCUGAGCGGUCAUAUGGUUAAGUGAUGGAGAGUCCCGUAAGAGGUAUGUUUGCACAUAAAUUACAAAUUUUGCUACGUUAAUGGGUGAAAGUGCACUGGAGGCAAACAGACAUUUCUUAUGUGACCUGUGGAUUUUUGACACAGGGCUCAGGCCAAGUUUGAGCUGGGCUUCCACAGCAAUGACCUUUUCGUCCCUGUUAGAGGACAAAUGGAUUCUUCUAUCAUUCAGCAAAUAUUUAUUAAACACCUACACUCUUUGGGGCUCGUUCCUAAUAUUCUAAUUUAGAAUGAAGACAUAAAAAAAUUACAUAUGGAAUAAAUUAAAAAAAAAUUGCGAGGUAGCCUCUUUCAAAUACCCUUCACAAAGGAGUAAUUACCGGUUCUGACUUGAUUGAACGUGUAAAUAAGUAAUUUUUUUUUUUUUGGAAAAGCUAAAUCACUGUAUCUAUAAUUUAUAAUAAAGUAUGAAUUAAAUUGGACGACUAUGAAAUUUACUGAUUAAAACCUUGAUUUUGCCUAAAAGUGUUUCUGAUAACAGACACAUAACCAUAACAGCCCUCUGUGUUUCUGAUAUACAUUCCCAUACACAUUCUAUACACAGGCUUGUUAAAUCAGACUCAGGUUGGGCAGUCAGUGGUAACUUACACUUAAAUCUCUUCAAGCUGUCAGCCCUUCGGAAUUCCUUAAAACCAUCAAGAUUUGCUGUAAAGACUGGGAAGAGAGAGCAGGUUGUAGCAGAAGGGGUUACUAUUAGCCUUUACCAUGACUCAUUAGGACGCGUCCUGAAAUAAGUUUAACUCCAUAUCAGACAAGGACUAAGCAUUCCUUAGUGGUUUAUCAGGUGAAAAGGAAGGAGGUUGUCAUAUUCAAGCAGCCCCAGCAAUGUGAGCAGAAAUAUAUCGCUUUAUUAUUUUCCCUUUCUUUUGCAGAAAAUAGGAUAUAUUGAUUUAUUUUAGAUUGUUUAGGGUCUAAGGUGUUUUAUGCUUGCAAAAGUUAUGAAUUAAAAGGUCCUAAAUGGUAAGGUGUUAAUGGGAAUGAAAUUCACACGCAAUGCAGGAGAUAUUAGUUGGAAACAAUAAAUCUUGUCAGGAUCAAGGUACUUUUAUUACUGUAAAAAAAUGAAGGUCACAAGAUAAUACUAUUCAGGGAAGUAUGUAAGACAUUUAAGGAGAUUCAUCAUUUUUCAUAUGACAUACAGAUACCCUUUUAAAGGAUUUCAGUAUUUUAUCUCUGAUUUGAUUUGGUAUUUAAAUAUUUUAAGUCAACCCUUUAGAAACCCAUAUGUAUUAUUAUUUAUUUAUUUAUUUUUUUACAUGAUCUAAUUGCCUGGUGUAACAAGUAGAUGGGUGGUCAGGAUUUCUGAUGAGUGUCCAUAAUUGCCUGGCAGUGUUCACAUGGCUUCAAUAAUUUUAUUUACAAUGAAGGCUUAAGGAAAUCCACACUGAGGGAGCAUCUAUUAUAUACCAGACAUUAGCCAAGUAUAUUUAGGCUGAGUGGGUCAUCUCAUUUUUUUGGUGCUGAUGAAUAUUAUUUGUGUGCCAUUUUCUUGGGUGAAAAACUGAGACUCAAUGCUUAAUAACUAGCUUACCAUCUAAGAAAUAGAACUCAGUGGGAGCCCAGGGCUCUGACUUCACAGCUUCUCUCUGUUUAAAAUCAGUGACUGGCCUCACCUAGCAUUUUGCGGUAUUUGUAUUCUUCUAUAAUAUCAAUGGGGCAGUGAAACUCAAAUGUACGUGGUCUCAGAAGUUUAAAUGACCCAAGUGUUUGAAAUUGCAGAUGUAUCUCUUAUUUUUAAGCUGGUAAAAUUCUGAAAGCCCUGUGUGUGUGUGUGUAAAGUAAAAUUUAUUUUUAUUAAUUUUAUAACUAGCUACUGUUCUCCCUAUCUGUUGCUGGGGCCUGGAGGUGAUGGUACCGUUUUUUGCUUCUCUCUGUAAUUGUUUAUAUCUAGAGGAAUUUACACAUGAAAGCGAGUUAUAAAUAAGCUUCUUGUUAGACCCUGAAUGGUGCUUUCACCUCCCCACACUCCUGCCUCACUGCUCCUUACAGAAAAAAAAGAAAAAAGAAAAAAAAAAAAAAAAGAAAGAAAGAAACCUCUGGAUCUGAACCCUUGAAACACCUUUGCCCUCCUAAGUUAUAUUCUCAAGAAGGGCUUAUAUAGUGACCAAGCAGUGCCAGACGCUAUCUUAAGACCUUGACAAGGAGAGAUUGAUUUGUAGAUUCUCUAUAACAGCCCAGUCAGUCAGGAAUCAUUAGCAUCCCCACUGAGCAAAGGAGGAGACUCAGGCACAUGGAGGUCGGUCCCUUGCCAAUGUCAUAGCCAGCAAGUGGUAAAAAUGGAACUCGAACCUAGAGCAUCUGAGGCUAGAGACCUUGAUCUUAACCAUUCUGUUGUGCAGAAAUCCCAAAUGAUAUUACAGCCACUUCCUACCUAUGGAUAUAAAGCCUGUAUAUCAAGUCACACAUUUAUUUAUUUAUUUAUUUAUUUAUUUAUUUAUUUAUUUUUGCUGAGGCUAAAGUCUUUAUCCAUAUGUCAUUCCAUCCCCUAUAUUUUCCCUCCAAUAAUGCUUCAUAAAUCAUUCCCUACCUGAGUUAUAUUCACUUUCUCUCCCCAUUAGGUCUUUUUCUUCUACUUACACAUUUGAUCAGAUGUCUAACAUCUUAAAAAGUAUCAACUUCUUCAUAUCCUUCUAAUCAUAAGAUAGAAUCUUUAACACACUGUAUUCUUUUCAUCUUUUUCCUUUUAGCUGUCAGCUCCCUACUCUCUGGUUUGUGCCCCAUGCCCUUCCUACAACUGUUCUUGCUAAGCCACCUCUGCCUGAGAAGUUUGUACCUUUCGGCUUCGCUGGACAACAUUUUUUAUGAAGUUCUACCCCUAGGGCUUACAAAAACAGCUGUCACUAUAUAAGAGGUGCACCCCUAUAUCUCUGAACGUUUCCCCAAAUUUCUCACUCCUGUCUUGUGUUAUCCCCAAAGCCUCUAUCAAGGGUUAUAUUCUUUAUUUUAGGAGUCACUACCUACCAGAAGAGCUGUUUGCAAAUGACAGUUGGUUUCUGUGUUUCUGUGUCUCAGGUCGUGAUGUAAAAUGGGCAGAAUUGAACUCACUAUCGCCCUUUGCCAGGACAUCACCUCUGUUCCUCCUUCUGGCUUCCAAUGAGCUGAGCAAGAAAAAGAUUUUUAGCAAAUGAAUUAAUCCAUCUUAUUCCCCAAGUACUCUCUGCUUGUUAAGAACAGUGUUAU